rnacentral:rRNA from 1 species
CGAAGGGGCGAGCGUUAUUCGGAAUCACUGGGCGUAAAGCGUGCGUAGGCUGUUUGUAAGUCAGAAGUGAAAGCCCAGGGCUUAACCCUGGAAUUGCUUUUGAAACUACAAGACUCGAAUUCGGGAGAGGAUAGCGGAAUUGUCAGUGUAGCAGUGAAAUGCGUAGAUAUUGACAGGAACACCAGUGGCGAAAGCGGCUAUCUGGACCGACAUUGACGCUGAGGCACGAAAGCGUGGGAGCAAACAGGAUU